UCUGGUUGAUCCUGCCAGUAGUCAUAUGCUUGUCUCAAAGAUUAAGCCAUGCAUGUCUAAGUAUAAGCAAUUUAUACAGUGAAACUGCGAAUGGCUCAUUAAAUCAGUUAUCGUUUAUUUGAUAGUUCCUUUACUACAUGGUAUAACUGUGGUAAUUCUAGAGCUAAUACAUGCUUAAAAUCUCGACCCUUUGGAAGAGAUGUAUUUAUUAGAUAAAAAAUCAAUGUCUUCGGACUCUUUGAUGAUUCAUAAUAACUUUUCGAAUCGCAUGGCCUUGUGCUGGCGAUGGUUCAUUCAAAUUUCUGCCCUAUCAACUUUCGAUGGUAGGAUAGUGGCCUACCAUGGUUUCAACGGGUAACGGGGAAUAAGGGUUCGAUUCCGGAGAGGGAGCCUGAGAAACGGCUACCACAUCCAAGGAAGGCAGCAGGCGCGCAAAUUACCCAAUCCUAAUUCAGGGAGGUAGUGACAAUAAAUAACGAUACAGGGCCCAUUCGGGUCUUGUAAUUGGAAUGAGUACAAUGUAAAUACCUUAACGAGGAACAAUUGGAAGGGCAAGUCUGGUGCCAGCAGCCGCGGUAAUUCCAGCUCCAAUAGCGUAUAUUAAAGUUGUUGCAGUUAAAAAGCUCGUAGUUGAACUUUGGGGCCCCGGGGGCCGGUCCGAUUUUUUUCUGGAACUGGAUCCAGGGGCCUUUCCAUCUGUACUUGAUCUUGUGCUCUUGCGACAGACUUUUACUUUCCCACGGGGGCUUUUCUUCUGGGUUAAUCUUUGAGUCCCUUGUGGCUCUUGGGCAAACCAGAUUUUUAUUUUGAAAAAUUAAAAGUGUUCAAACCAGCGGAUUUGCUCCGAAUAUAUUAAAAUGGAAUAAAAAAAAGGACCGUUUGGGUCUUAUUUUGGUGGGUUCCAGGACCCUCCCUAUGGAUUAAUA
rnacentral:rRNA from 1 species